AGCAGUUUGGGCAAGGUGGAGUGAGCAGCAAGGCCCCUGCAGACACCAGCCCACCAAGCACCCUCAGAGCUCCCUAGACUCUUGGAGGUCUUCGUGGGGCCUGGCCAGGCCAGAAAGUGUUGGGCUGGGGGAGGGCACCAGGGACCCAGGGUGUGGGGGUGCCACAGCUCCACUCCUAGGACAGCUGAGGUGCCUUUCCAAGACCAGAGGGAUGAUUACUACCAGCUGCCCAUCGCCAGAGAGGACAUCCUCUCCUUGGACUCCUGGGACCUGGCCAGGCAUGAGGAGGAGCUCCUGCAGCCCAGCCAGGUGGUCGGUGCGGACCUGGAGUGGUGACCCUCGUUUGGCACAGGGGCCCGGUCCCAGGCAUCCAUCAUGCAGGUGGCGGUGGAGGGCCGUGUGUUCCUGCUGGACCUGCCUGUGCUCCCACGGCCAACAGGAGGGCAUGUGUCCCAGGCCUUCUCCAGGCUGGUGUCCCAGCUGCUCUCGGACCCCUCCAUCACUAAGUUGGAUGCAGGUGUUGGACAAGCCAGCUCUAGGCAGGGGUGAGGCCAGGGGCUGCGGGGCCUCAGCCUCCUGGUGUAGCAGGUGCUGGGCAAGGCGCUGGACAAGGCACAGCAGCUCUCCAACUGGGACUGGCGGCCGCUGAGCGGGGGCAGCUGGUUUAUGCAGGUGCCUGUGGCGGAGAAGGAGGGCGCCCCCCCGAGGUCCCGGGCAGGGCCUUCUGUGUGCUGUGCGACCACAGGCUGCAAGGGCUGGGCGCGGACGUGCUUAUGCUGGGCGCCGGCGAGGACACCGCAGGGCCGUUGAGGUAAGCGUGGCGGGGCUUUGUGCCCACCCUCCCGGGGCUCGGGGCCCUUCGGUCUGCCUGGGUCUAAGGACAGA
rnacentral:lncRNA from 1 species